AGAGUUUGAUCAUGGCUCAGAACGAACGCUGGCGGCAGGCUUAACACAUGCAAGUCGAACGCACCUUUCGGGGUGAGUGGCAGACGGGUGAGUAACGCGUGGGAACGUGCCCUUCAGUUCGGAAUAACCCAGGGAAACUUGGGCUAAUACCGGAUACGUGCGAGAGCAGAAAGAUUUAUCGCUGAAGGAUCGGCCCGCGUCUGAUUAGCUAGUUGGUGAGGUAAUGGCUCACCAAGGCGACGAUCAGUAGCUGGUCUGAGAGGAUGAUCAGCCACAUUGGGACUGAGACACGGCCCAAACUCCUACGGGAGGCAGCAGUGGGGAAUAUUGGACAAUGGGCGCAAGCCUGAUCCAGCCAUGCCGCGUGAGUGAUGAAGGCCUUAGGGUUGUAAAGCUCUUUCGGCGGGGACGAUAAUAACGGUACCCGCAGAAGAAGCCCCGGCUAACUUCGUGCCAGCAGCCGCGGUAAUACGAAGGGGGCUAGCGUUGUUCGGAAUCACUGGGCGUAAAGGGCGCGUAGGCGGCUUUAUAAGUCGGGGGUGAAAGCCUGUGGCUCAACCACAGAAUUGCCUUCGAUACUGUAUGGCUUGAGACCGGAAGAGGUAAGUGGAACUGCGAGUGUAGAGGUGAAAUUCGUAGAUAUUCGCAAGAACACCAGUGGCGAAGGCGGCUUACUGGUCCGGUUCUGACGCUGAGGCGCGAAAGCGUGGGGAGCAAACAGGAUUAGAUACCCUAGUAGUCC
rnacentral:rRNA from 1 species